rnacentral:rRNA from 1 species
GGACUACUGGGGUAUCUAAUCCUGUUUGCUCCCCUAGCUUUCGUGCCUCAGUGUCAGGAGUCGUCCAGGGACUCGCCUUCGCCACUGGUGUUCCUCUCGAUAUCUACGCAUUUCACUGCUACACCGAGAAUUCCAGUCCCCCUUCCGAUCCUCCAGCCGGAGAGUAUCCAAUGCAGUUUCGGAGUUGAGCUCCGAGAUUUCACAUCAGACUUACCCGGCCACCUACGCACCCUUUACGCCCAGUGAAUCCGAACAACGCUCGGGACCUCUGUAUUACCGCGGCUGCUGGCAC